rnacentral:lncRNA from 1 species
UAACUAUGGGAUGGCAUCACUCUUUUAUUUCAUCUUUUACUUUCACGAUCACAUCCUUUUUAACCAUAUCAUCCAGCAUAUUUUUGACCUGUUCACGAUAACAAAAAGAGGUUGAGGAAAAUCUGGGUGCAAAAUUAUCAAUCUUAUGGAUGCAUGCUGAGAGAUAAGCACAUCAUCUUGGUCAAUAUCUUUGACGAAAUACACGAUCUCGUUAUGCUGACGAUUUCCGAGUCUCAAUAUCAAUUCAACAUUUCUUACUAUUUCCUAUCUGGAGCCGUUCACAUCACAAUUUUGGGAUGACUUAUAAGUUCUCUGAUUUGCUUGAUGUUCCGGCAUUCGGCCUACUUUGCAGGGCACGGUAUUCCAAAUUGAUGAGGAGCCUUGAAACCACACUUUCCACAGAGGUAUUCUUCAUCCUUCGUCCAUUAUCUCCCACGUCUUUGAUUCCUCUUUCUACCAUGACCUCCAAUAAUUUCGUCAGCUGUCGAAAUUCGAUGUAUAACCUUCAAAACUAGAUGGUUCAAAUUUUUUCUAAAACUGUUUAAAAAACAACUUCAUCUUUGACUCUGCAAGUGAUCAGAGUGGCUAAUCAAUCCUCUGGUUUCAUCUAAUAGAUUUUAGCCUCUUCUGCUAAAUUUUUUAAAUCGCAAUAAAAUUCAUCAAUUGUUCCAAAAUU